rnacentral:rRNA from 1 species
GAUGAACGCUGGCGGCGUGCCUAAUACAUGCAAGUCGAGCGAACGGACGAGAAGCUUGCUUCUCUGAUGUUAGCGGCGGACGGGUGAGUAACACGUGGAUAACCUACCUAUAAGACUGGGAUAACUUCGGGAAACCGGAGCUAAUACCGGAUAAUAUUUUGAACCGCAUGGUUCAAAAGUGAAAGACGGUCUUGCUGUCACUUAUAGAUGGAUCCGCGCUGCAUUAGCUAGUUGGUAAGGUAACGGCUUACCAAGGCAACGAUGCAUAGCCGACCUGAGAGGGUGAUCGGCCACACUGGAACUGAGACACGGUCCAGACUCCUACGGGAGGCAGCAGUAGGGAAUCUUCCGCAAUGGGCGAAAGCCUGACGGAGCAACGCCGCGUGAGUGAUGAAGGUCUUCGGAUCGUAAAACUCUGUUAUUAGGGAAGAACAUAUGUGUAAGUAACUGUGCACAUCUUGACGGUACCUAAUCAGAAAGCCACGGCUAACUACGUGCCAGCAGCCGCGGUAAUACGUAGGUGGCAAGCGUUAUCCGGAAUUAUUGGGCGUAAAGCGCGCGUAGGCGGUUUUUUAAGUCUGAUGUGAAAGCCCACGGCUCAACCGUGGAGGGUCAUUGGAAACUGGAAAACUUGAGUGCAGAAGAGGAAAGUGGAAUUCCAUGUGUAGCGGUGAAAUGCGCAGAGAUAUGGAGGAACACCAGUGGCGAAGGCGACUUUCUGGUCUGUAACUGACGCUGAUGUGCGAAAGCGUGGGGAUCAAACAGGAUUAGAUACCCUGGUAGUCCACGCCGUAAACGAUGAGUGCUAAGUGUUAGGGGGUUUCCGCCCCUUAGUGCUGCAGCUAACGCAUUAAGCACUCCGCCUGGGGAGUACGACCGCAAGGUUGAAACUCAAAGGAAUUGACGGGGACCCGCACAAGCGGUGGAGCAUGUGGUUUAAUUCGAAGCAACGCGAAGAACCUUACCAAAUCUUGACAUCCUCUGACCCCUCUAGAGAUAGAGUUUUCCCCCUCGGGGGACAGAGUGACAGGUGGUGCAUGGUUGUCGUCAGCUCGUGUCGUGAGAUGUUGGGUUAAGUCCCGCAACGAGCGCAACCCUUAAGCUUAGUUGCCAUCAUUAAGUUGGGCACUCUAAGUUGACUGCCGGUGACAAACCGGAGGAAGGUGGGGAUGACGUCAAAUCAUCAUGCCCCUUAUGAUUUGGGCUACACACGUGCUACAAUGGACAAUACAAAGGGCAGCGAAACCGCGAGGUCAAGCAAAUCCCAUAAAGUUGUUCUCAGUUCGGAUUGUAGUCUGCAACUCGACUAUAUGAAGCUGGAAUCGCUAGUAAUCGUAGAUCAGCAUGCUACGGUGAAUACGUUCCCGGGUCU